CUGAGUGAGCGUCCUCGGGCGCGACCUCCAACCCUUUUGUAUUCCGACCAUGUUGCCUCGGGGGUGACCCGGCCUUCGGGCGUCGGGGCCCCCGGUGGACCUAUAACUCUGCAUCUCUGCGUCUGAGUAUGAUAUUGAAUCAAUCA
rnacentral:misc_RNA from 1 species